UUUUUUUUUACAUAAAUAAGGCCGUUAGUUUUCUCGUUUGAAUUGUUUUACAUUAUCUUAUCGGGGCCUUUUGUAGCUGAUAUGCGGUAUGGGCUUUGCUCAUUGUUGAAGGCUGUACGGUGACCUAUAUUUGUUAAUGUCUGUCAUUUUUGUCUUUUGUGGAUAGUUGUCUCAUUGGCAAUCAUACCACAUCUUCUUUUUUUUUUUUAUAUUAUCUGAAGUUUAUAACUUCUGACAAUCUAGACACACCUCCAGAAAGGCACACCUCAAGAGUAAUGUCUAUUUAUAAUUGUUUUAUUUUUCAACACGAAAUUUAGAUUUUUU
rnacentral:lncRNA from 1 species